rnacentral:tRNA from 1 species
GCGCUCGUAGCUCAGUUGGAUAGAGCAACGGCCUUCGAAGCCGUGUGUCGGGAGUUCGAGUCUCUCCGGGCGCGCCA